CCUACGGUAGGCUGCAGUGAGGAAUAUUGGUCAAUGGGCGGAAGCCUGAACCAGCCAAGUAGCGUGCGGGAUGAAGGCCCUACGGGUGUAAACCGCUUUUGUACGGGGAUAACACCCUCCACUUGUGGAGGUCUGCAGGUACCGUGCGAAUAAGGGCCGGCUAAUUCCGUGCCAGCAGCCGCGGUAAUACGGAAGGCCCGAGCGUUAUCCGGAUUCAUUGGGCUUAAAGGGAGCGUAGGCGGGCGUUCAAGUCAGCUGUAAAAUCGCGCGGCUCAACCGCGCCCCGCAGUUGAAACUGGACGCCUUGAGUUCACAACAGGCAGGCGGAAUUCGUGGUGUAGCGGUGAAAUGCAUAGAUAUCACGAGGAACCCCGAUUGCGAAGGCAGCCUGCCGGGGUGCGACUGACGCUGAGGCUCGAAGGUGCGGGUAUCAAACAGGAUUAGAUACCCCAGUAGUC
rnacentral:rRNA from 1 species